GGCAAGCUAGGCCUUCUACGGACCUCUCAUUAUUGAUUUUGUGAGUAAAGUCCACCUUAUACACACAGCAGAGUGAGGACUUCCUCACAGGACAGGAAGGGCAUUAACAGAGGAAAUCCCACGCCAGAGGGGCCAGAAGGGAGAAGAAUUGCACAGGUGGACAGAAGAUGGUUACCAAGGCAGCAGAAGAACGGCCUCCAUGACUUACCCGAAUGGAAACAUUAAAAUCCUCAGAUCACGAGGCCCCUGGGACGGUGUCACUCACAGUGGGCUGGACCCUCUUGCAUCAAUUAGCAAUCAAGAAAAUGCUCCCAAGACAUGCCUGCAGGUCAAUUUGAUCAAGUCAAUUCUUCAGUUGAAGUUCUAUGAAGCGACUCUAGAUGAUGUGAAGUUGGCAACAGAAAUUCACCAGCACAAGACCCCCACACUUUUGUUUAUGUGAGUUCUGUCUGUUAAUAUUUAUUGAAUUGUAAUUAAAAUUGAGAUCCUCAAUGUUUUAAUAUUAAAGGUAGCAUAAAUAACCAA